GCCCAGGAGUCACCAGACGCCAGGCCGAAACGCGAAACCGACCCCAAAUCGAAUCCACCGCCGCGGCGCCGCUCCCCCCUUCGGCCGCCCGCCCUAGCUACUCCUCCGGCGGCUGGCGAGCGAGCAGAGAUGAAAGCCGCUGCUCCCGCCGUCCCACCUCCCCUCUCAGCCUCUUACUCCACCUCAAUCUGCCGGCGGGGAAUUUCGGAUUCCAGCAACAAGGGGCGCAUCGGUGAUUUUUGGGGCGCGGCUGCGACAGAGCUCGACGCCUGGUGUUAAUCUGGCCGGGUGUCAAUGGCCGAUGGCGGCUCCAAAGGAUCGACAACGCUGCCACGGGUAGAGAUCGACGGCAGUAGGCCUGAUCUGUCGCCCCUCCAGUGGAUUCGUCGCUCCUCUUCCACGGCCACCAAUUGCGCAGGCCCCUUUCCUCCUUGAACGCUCGCUCAGGGUCAGGGUGCUCCGUUCCUCAGCCGGUGAGCCCCCCUCCAGUGCAUUCUUCCCCAUAAAUGUGGUACUGAAAGGAGGAAAAUGAAAGAAGCCAGUAUUCUGCGUGGGCUGUUCGAUCUACUACAGCUCCUGGAGAAUUAUACUGAUGCCGCGUGUUUAUUGACAAGAUUUAUAUGUCUUGAGCAAGAACCUAUUAGACCGAGAUGAUUGCAUAUAAGAAGAUCGAUCUUGCCUCUUCUGCAGUCUGGUGGAUUUUGAAAGAAAGGAAUUGCAGAUUUUAUUUGGACAAAGAGAUGAAGCCAGAAAGGAUUCGAUUCGGUACAACACCAUCACCGAUGCAGACGACAAGGGGUUCAUCGUGCCAGGCACCUCGGCGUUGCUUCCGUGAGAUGGCGGCAGCGGCUACAGAAACAGCUACGGUGAGCUCCUCUCCUCGCCUCCAGUGGUUGCUCUGAGCACUGCGUGGCCAUCGUACCAUGGCUAUGUCUGAUUAGGCUGCUACAGUACACCCUUGCAUAACGAUGGUGCUACUGUUUGUUUGUUUCUCUGCCUUGCUGCCACUAGCCUGCCUGAUAGAGACUUGCUGAAUAUGUAUGUCUUUGAGCAGGAACUGAUAGAAUAUAUAUAGCUCAUGUUCAUGUUGAUUCCCAUCCCACUCAAAGUAUGAAACCCUUCUUCUUCGCACUCAACAACUAGGCAGCACACCCGAAUAUAUAUGCACAUAUAUGUAUGUAGUUUCCCACUACACACAUGGAGCAGUCUUGUUCGUUUCAGGAUGUAGUAUCACCACUUUAUUUGUUCCCUGGCUGCCUCCAUGAAAUUCUGACUGCAUAUAUGUGGUCUGUGUACCAUCCAUGCUAUGCACUUGCAUCCUCAACUCAUGUUGGUAUUGUUUAAUAUCCAUGCUAGUUUAGUUGCCGUGUGGCCUUGUUUCCAUGAUGAUGGAAUUCCAAAUAUCUGGUUGUGGCAUGCUGCUCUCUUUUGACACUCAUUUUAUACACUACAAAUUAUUCAUACAACAUGGAGGGCCGGUACGGACGCUGUGGACACUCAUUUAUGUCACUUCAUUCAAUUAAGAAAGGCAUUUUCGACAACGUCAAAGUAAGAAGUCGUCUCAAGAAGAGUGGUGCCAGAAUAACCAUAAUGUUCAAUAGAGGGAAGCGGGCGAGCACGGAAGCCAUAGUAGGUUGAGUUGGAGGCGGUGCGUUGCCAAUAGGAGGCAUGGUAGUCGAGGGAGAUGGCGAAUUAGAAUAAUCCACAACACGUGGACGACCAAUGUGGUAAGAAGAGGAUGAGGGGGAAUCACUGGAGAAGCCUCAGAUGGACGAGCGAGGUUUGAGGUAGCCUCAUGUAAUGAACGAGGUGGGGAAUCACAUGUGACGAUGGUAUAGGGUCUACAAUAUUAGUACAGGAAGACACGGUGGGAUGGGUGGAUGAGGACAACGCAUGAGCGAUAGGUGUAUCUGCAAAAGUGAGAAAAGAAAUAUCGUCAAUGGGAGGAUGGACGUGGAUAGAAAGGAUGAGAUUCAUCAAAAGCCACAUCCCGAGAAAUGAGCAUCCGAUGACCAACGGGAUCCUAAGAAGUGACAUUCAAUAGAUUGAGCAACCAGUUUGGUGUGUUCACGGGGGGUAGGGGGUGCAAAAAGAAAAGGUAGCAACCACAACCAAACAAAAGAAGUGUGAGUAGCCAUGAGAAUGACCAAAAAGACGCUCCAGAGAAAGGUCACCCUAUAAAGCAGAGGAAGGUCGUAUGUUGAUAAGAUGGGUGGAAGUACGAACAAUCUCAACCCAGAAAUGAGGUGAAAGAGAGGUGAGUAUCAUCAAUGCACGAGCUGCCUCGAGAAAGUGACGAUGCUUGCGCUCAUCAACACCAUUUUGAGAAUGAGCAUCAGGACAAGAGAAUUGAGGAAGUGUACCCUGCUCAUCAAGGAAUCCACACAACAAAUGAGAGAUAUACAUAUACUCACGAGCAAAAUCUACAUGGAAGACACUGAUAGGAGUGGAAAACUGGGUAUGAACCAUGGCGAUUAAACUUCUUACAGAUAGAUAAGAUCUCACUACAAUAGGAUAUAAAAUAUAUCCAUGUGUUUUGAGAGUAAUCAUCUUAAAGAUAAUAUAGUAGUGAUGUCCUCCUUUCGAGGCAAAGGAAGCUGGACCCCAAACGUCGGAAUGAACAAGAUCGAAAGGAUGUUGAGACACCGUCUCACUAUGAGGAUGGAAGUAACCAAACCUGUUUACCAAGCCGACAAACCUGAUAGUUUAAAGCAACACCUGAGACAGAUACAAGAAAAUCACGUUGACCCAAGGUGAGGGACGAGAGCCAUACAAGUGACCGACGAGAGCUAUACAAGUGACCGACGAUGAUGCCGCAGAGAGUCGGUAGCCAAGGAAACAGACGAAGGAAAGGUAGCAACCACAACCAAGCAAAUGAAGCGCUAAGUAGUCAUGAGAACGACUAAAAAGACGCUCGAGAGAAAUGUCACCCUGCAGAGAAGAGGAAGGGUGAAUGUUGCUGAGAUGGGUGGAAGUAGGAACAAUCUCAACCCAAAACGGAGGUGGAAGAGAGAUGACGAGCAUCGACGCACGAGUUGCCUCAAGAAAGUGACGAUGCUUGCGCUAUCAACACAAUUUUGAGCAUGAGCACCAGGAGAAGAGAACUGAGCAAGUGCGCCCUGCUCAACGAGGAAUCCACACAACAAAUGAGAGAUAUACUCACGAGCAGAAUCUGCAUGAAAGACACCGAUGGUAGUGGAAAACUGGGUAUGAACAAUGGAGAUAAACUUCUUACAGAUAAGAUCUCACUACAAGAAGAUAUAAAAUAUAUCCAUGUGUGUCGAGAGUAAUCAUCUAUAAACAUAAUAUAGUAGCGAUGGCCUCCUUCCGAGGCGAAGGAAACUAGACCCCAAACAUCAUAGUGAACAAGAUUGAAAGGAUGUUGAGAUACCGCCUCGUUAUGAGGAUAAAGUAACCGAACCUGUUUACCAUGUUGACAAACCUGAUAGUUCAAAGACACAACACCUGAGACAGAUUCAAGAAAACCACGUCAAACUAACGACGAGGGACAAGAGCCAUACAAGUGACCCGCGAUGAUGCCACAUAGAGCCGGCAGCGGAGGAAACAUAGGUGAAGAGAGUAGCGACGGUGGCAGCAAGACAGGUGAAGCCAUUCAAGCUCCCAGAGGACCUGGGAGUCAAUGCGCCGAGGGCCAGCACAAAGUAAAGCACACGUAUGACGAUCCUAAUCUAAACAAGAGCCAAAGACGAGGAUGACUACUCCCGAGUCAAUAAUCUUACACUUGAAAUGAGCUACAUGGUAAGUCAAGGAACAUGACAACAGUGCUAAUAGUGGUUGGAUCGAAUGGAAGGGAAGUACCAUCAGCAGUAAGAACAUGAACAUGAGAGUCUAGAGGUUUGAAUGGAGGACAAACGGAAGAAGCAUGAGUCAUGAAAAGACGCUCCAAUUUCAAGGAUCCAUGGAAAGAUGUGCUUCCCACCUAGAAAUGAGUUCAGUGCUCAACCUCGUAGUAGCACACUUAUAUGAUAAUUUUUGGACAUUUCUAGUAACAAGAAGUCUUACUCCUAUUUUGGCAUUUUGGCCUGAGGUGGCUGGGCUAGUAGGUGCCAAGGUGGUUGUGGAAAGAAAAUCGAGCUUGAACAGACCCGAUGUGUAAGGAGAAAGAUGAUUUUGACCCUUGGUUAUGAUUUUGGUAUGAAGCCACCUCGCAAGAGGUUAUGAUUGCAGGCAACCCCCGUCAGUCAAGGACCCACCCUUGGCGCCAUGGCAAAGAAAGUGACAAGUCUUAUAGAAUACCACGAGGGAAAACUGGGACGAGCAGCUCAACUCAGGGUUCGUUUUUGCAAGUUCCUAGUGAAGAAAAGAUAGAGGAUGGCGAGGGCGUUCCGCUUCUGACAUCAUUUUCAUUGCUUCCUCAUACCCCCCUAUUUGCAAGUUCAUGUGAAGAAAAGACAGAUGGCAAGGGCGUGCCAUCCUUGACAGCGUUUCCAUUGCAUCCCCAUAACUCCCAUACACUCUCCAUUUCUUGCCGAUCCGACUUGGCGUUCUUCCUCUGUUUGUGGGUUGUGUGUCACGGAUUUGAUUCUGCAUUCCAUGUUCCAUUGCUAGUCGUCCCUGGCCUUGGCGACAGGUAGCGUCGUGCUCCUGGGUGCUAUGCGUCCUCGCGUAAGACGGAGACGGUGCCGACUGCUCGUGCUCUUGCUCCGCCAGUGGUGGUGCCUGAGCUUGUGGCUAUUGGGGCACCUUGCAUGGGAGCACAGGAUGUAGGGAGAAGGCAGCACACAAAGCAACUUGCAGACAUGUGAAGGAUGCCCUGCCGGACUGGCAGACAGUGGAGAGUACACGAGAGGUGUUGGGGAAGGGUGAAAACGCUGCCGGGAGUGGACUGCUAUUGCUGUCAGUCUUUGGACCCAGAGCCGAGCGAAGAGGGGAUGGCGAUAAGGAUGCGAGGAAGACAGGACGAGGGCAUAUGCUCGUGUGUCGGCCGUGACAAUGGAUGGCAUGGUUGUUGUGGAGUGAGGUGCCAUCGUAGUCACGGGCAUGGCACGACACUCUGCCAUCGUAGUCGCGGCCAUAUUGUGCUGAAAACCACGGGCCACACGAGGAGCUUUGUAACGCUUAGGACAUCUCUCUUAACAUAGUAGACACACUUACAAGUGACAAACAAGCACGAGAAGGAAGGGAAAUGAGAUCCCAUGUGUCGAAUGCACUCACGAGCAGCGAUCUCCUAUGCCAUCGCAUGUUGCAGUUCGAGGUGUGGGGAAGGGUGAAAACGCUGCCGGGAGGGGACUGCCAUUGCCUCCAGUCUUUGGACCCGGAGCCGAACGAAGAGGGGAUGGCGACAAGGAAGCGAGGAAGACAGAAAGAGGGCAUAUGCCCGUGUGUGGGCCGUGACUGUGGACAAUUGUGGAUAGAUUCGAUAUCUACACAUGGAUCUGCUACUCGUGAUGGCAUGGCAUGGCACUCUGCCAUUGUAGUCAUGGCCAUAUUUGUGCUGAAAACUAUGGGCCACACGACGAGCUUUAUAACACUUAGGACAACCAUCUUAACAUUGUAGGCACACUUACAAGUGACAGACGAGCACGAGGAGGAAGGGGAAUGAGAUCCCAUGUGUCGAUGCACUCACGAGCAACAAUCUCCUAUGCCAUCACAUGUUGCAGUUCGAGGUGAACAACACCGUCAUGGGCAUUCAUCUUGAGAAGAACGGCGCUGGAAUAACAAUAGCAGACAAUAGGCGGAAGCGGUGCGUGGCCAACAGAAGGAGGCAUGGCAGUCGAGGGAGAUGGCGCAUCAGAAGAAUCCACAACAAGCGGACGACCAAUGUGGUAAAUAUAAGAGGACGAGGGGGAAACCACCAGAGAAGCCACAGGGGAACGAGCGUGGUGAGGUUGCCUAAGGUAACAAACAAGGUGGUGAAGCCACAUGUGACGAUGGCAUGGUGUCUACAACAGAAUAUGGGAAGACAUGAUGGGAUGGGUGGACGAGGGCAACACAUGAGUGAUAGUUUUAUCAGGAAAAGUGAGGAAAGGAAUAUCCUCAAUGGGAGGAUAGCCGUGGAUAGAAAAGGACGAGACUCAUCAAAAGUCACAUCUCGAGAAAUGUGUAUUCGACGACUGACAGGAUCCCAACAUUGAUAGCCUGUGUGCUCGUCAUUGCAACGACAACCAAACAAACGAAGUACUGAGUCAUGAGAAUGACCAAAAUGAUGCUUGAUAGAAAUGUCACCCUGCAAAGCAGAGGUUUGAAUGUUGAUGAGAUAGGAGUGGAAAACUGGGUAUGCACUAUGACGACAAACUUCUUAUAGAGAAAUCAUCUAUAAAGAUAAUAUAGUAAAGAAAUUUUCGAGGCAAAUGGAGUUGGAUCCCAAACAUCAGAGUGAACAAGAUCGAAAGGGCGUUGAGAAACCGUCUCUCUAUGAGGAUGAAAUAACAGAACUGUUUACCAAGCAGACAAACCUGACAGUCUAAAGACCCAACACCGGAGACAUAUCCACGUCGAACUAAGGAUGAGGGACGAGAGCCACACAAGUGACCAAGACAAUGAUGCGAUAGAGAGCUGAUAGUCGAGGUAACAGAGGCGAAGAGAUUGGCACCAAGUAGAGCUCCCAUGUGACGGUCCUAAUCUACAACCAGAGUCAACAAUCUAACCACCUGAAAUGAGCUACAUGGUAAGUCAAGGAAGAUGAGCAAAAGAAGGAACAUGACAAGACAAAGUGAUAAGAGUGCCUCAACUAUCGAAUGGGAGGGGAGUACGAUCAACAGUAAGAACAUGAACAGGAGAAGCUAGAGGUUUGAAUGGAGGACAAACUGGAAGAAUCAUGAGUUAUAUGAAAAUAUGUUCCAAUAUCCAUGGAAAUAUACCCGACUAUACAAAAAGUGUUCUCAGUACAGAAGAAUCAAUAGCAAAACCUACAAAACUGUUGAUGGAGAACGAAAAGUAGCAUCUAACAGACAUUGAAGUCUCGUAAUCUUCGGCAUAGUCAGUGGUUUAACUGAAGAGGUCGACGAAGAAGCAUCAUACGAUGAAAAACUAGGAGCAAUAAGUAGGUGUCCAUGUUGUCCAAGCUCCUGCCCGGUGAAGGAUACCGCUGAAGUGGUCGACGUAGAAUCACCAAAAGACGAGUGGCCGCCACCACCACCUGUGUGAGCCGCUAGAGGAGGCGGUGUAGCACGACCAAUACCGGUUGUAGAAGUCGUUGGAGGAGACGGCGUCGUAGGCACACAAACAUCAAACGCGUGGGAAGGUGCGUGUGCGAGACAUAGUCGGUGGAGUGAUGUGCACCAACACUAUCGACGAAAGCCAUGAGGGGAGUCUGUGUAGAGCGACCAUCACCAUUUACAAAGGUCGCAAGAGGUGUCACUAUGGAGCCACCAUCACUGCCUAUAAAAAUGAUUGGGGGGGGGGGAGCAACCUCAUAGGUGGAGGAACACUGCAUCGACGGAUGACACAUGUGCGAGGUGGGGUCAGUGUAGUCAGUCCAAUCACCGGACACCAAGGAAGAAACUAUGUCCAAUUUAAGAACAAUCUUUGUACCUGUUUCUUUGUUCUUCUACUCUUUUCUUUUACAGAACAAUCUUAGAGAGCAGCAGAUCAUGGAAGAGCAGUGUAUAGGGCACGCACGGUAGGGGCAUGGUGCCCUAGAGAAGCCAGUCGAUGGAACGGGUUGAUGGGUCUAAGGUUCGGCGGUGAAGUCCGGCGUUGAGGUCCUACGUGUAGCAAAAGGAGCGGAGACCGUGACCUGCAACAGCGGACGUCUCAAAUAUUGCGCCUCCUGGAGCUGAGGGCCGCCGGCCUUCUGUACAUGGUGACGAGGCGCUGACCUUCUGUACAUGGCGACGAGGCGCUGACCUUCUGUACAUGGCGAUGAGGCGCAACCUCCUGAAACUGCAGGUGACGAGGGCCUAGGGUCUACAACAUUAGUAUGGGAAGACACGGUGGGAUAAGUGGUGGAAGACAAUACAUGAGUGAUUGGUGUAUUGGGAAAAGUAAGGAAAGAAAUUUAACUCCUAAAGUAUGAGAGGGUCACUAGGUAGCCUUGUUGCUCCCGUGAAAUUGUUCAUUGGAAUCGACCCGCGGCCACUGUAGCUAGACAAAAAAAUCAGGAUGAAGCGAUCCCCACCUGGCCGUGAGCCCCGUGGCCGACUCCACUCAUCUUUGCCUCGUUGCCCUUGACCAUGACCUAACCCGGGUCUUCCUCGCGACCUUCCUUCCAUCUUCCCUUGUGCCGCCUAUCUCUGGCGCCUCUCCCAUGCUCUUGCCCUCACCGUUGUGAGCCUGCUUGAGGAGGUGCCCGACCAGAACGACAGGCUCCGGUGGGUCGUGCGUCAGUAAUGUCAUUCGCCGCGCCGAGCUCCGCCCUCUUCUUGAUGCGCGACAGUCGGUGUAGCUCUGCCUCAUCCUCCGCCUCCAUCGACAUUGUUUCUUCCUAAGCUCGACCUUGUUCACGACUGCAGCCACCACAGACUCCUUCCGCGCUCUUCCCGACGGCCGACAUGUCCGUGCUUGAUUAGCUCACGUCUUGACGGCCUCCAAGUGCACAAGUGAGUCCCCAUCCAUCUCUCUCUCCCCUCCCCUCUCUCUCUCCUUGCAGUUUCUGGAAUUGGGAGCGGAAGAAGCGGCGAGUGGUUCCGGAGGUGGCGGGCGGCAAUAGAAGUUCAUCUGACCUUCGUUCCUGUAGCAUGGUUCGAAUCAAUUAAAGACCUGUGAUUCAGUGGUAGAAGCUGCAGACAACCAUCACCGGCGAGGCACAGAAGAGGUUUCCACGGUCAGAUCUACAUUGAGGCGAGGCCAUGUCAAAGGAAACACCACUAGUUAUGUGUUUGCGCCAUCCUCUGCUACAUUUUGUUGUAUCAUAUUUGAGGUUCAGUUUCAUGCUGGUUGCAAUUUCUUACGGAUUGGUGUAUUUUGUUGUAGGUAGUAAGAUCAUAAGAUACUAAUGGGCUCCCUGUAAUCCCAAAGUGCACUGCUCAGUGGAUAGAUAUGUUUUACAAGAGCUUCUAGAGGUGCUUAAUUUUCUAUAUCGAAAACAACUGCUGGUAAAGUGCUAAUAUGAUAUUUUUGCUUACUGGAUACAUUAUUUUCCAAGUUCUUUCAGAGAUCUAAUAAUGAGGUUCCAAGCACUAACAACCCAACAAAGGCUGCUUUAAACUUUAAUAUAUAUUCACAGAGUUUGUCUGCUUGCUUCAAAAUUGGAAUGAGACUUUUGCUUGCUGAUAAAAUCCUUCAAUUGGUAAUAAGUUUCCCUUCAUUACAUGCUUAUUGUUCUUUCACAAAAGAAUGUUUUACAUUUCCAAAGAUUACUAAGUUAAGAUGGUGGUAACCGUUGGUAAAAUUGGCUCCCUCUUUCAUCUUCUCAGUAUUUCUGCUACUGUUGACCUUCUUUAUUCACAUGUUUAUACUUUUCUUUUUGGUCCAUGAUGACUUGUGUGGUCGUAAGACUGGAAUUAAUAAUUUCCUGGCUUAGUAGUCAUUAUCUUAUUCUUCAGUUUCCGUUUGCCUGAUCUUCUGUUGCUACACCCAUUUUCUGAAAGUUUUUGUUGCGAAGUGUCUGUCAAAGUGGUUGUGACUGCAUACGUAUAGGCUAUAUUUUGAGCAACCUGGCAGGCAAGAAUAUUAUAGUGUACUGCACUGUCUCACUGUAUAUGUCGUCUGCCAAGAUUUUGUGGCACGAGGCAUACAUACUAUUUGAGAUGUGAUUCUCUUGUCCUUAGAAGCAUGCGGUUUGUCCUGAUUUUCUGUAUGCUCUUUGUUCUCCACAGAUUGUACUUAAACAAACUUGAUUAAAUCGGGAAAAUAAGUUAUCCUCGGAAAUCUCCUGAUCAAUAGAGCACUUCAUGCUAUGUAGGAUAUCUGGUAUAUACGUCAAUUGCAUGUGUGAUUAUAUUUAUCAAUGUUAGAAGUAUUUUUCAUUCAACAAAGGGAGAUUUCGGGGUGCAGACUAUAAAUUGUUCGUCAGAGAUUAUACUCAGAUAGAUUUGAUAAAAUUGAGCAAAAUAAGUUACCGUUGCAUAUCUCCUGAUCAACAUGCUAUUUGCCAAUAGUCGUUGCGCUUCAGUAGUAGUUAAUGCAGUAUCAAGGUAGAAGUUGCUUAUAUGUGCGAAAAUAUUCAACCCAUAAUAUAUCAUAUCAAUAGACAGAGAUGCAUCAAUUCUUUUUCGUUAUUGAUUUUCAUAUCUGUCAUGUGCAGAGUACCCAUCUAUUAAUUAUGUAGGUCUUGAGUGUGGUUGUAAAUUAUGCACUACUGGUGGUUACGAGCCUUCAUCUCUACAAAAAAACAUGCAGUGAGGAACCAUCGUGUCUACAAAAAACAUGCUAUGAGGUUACUUGCUUCCCGACAGGGAUUGAGGUAGCUUGCUUCCCGUCAGAGAUUGAGGUUCCUAGGAGGUUACCAUCGGGAGAGUCAGGUUAUCCAUGACAUGUUUGUUCAAAUUUCUUGGGGGAAUGAGAUGUCAGAUUAUUUUACUUAUAAAUUGUUUGUUUCCUUGAAAGUUACUCAUUUCUGUUACCAUUGUUGUACAAGAUCAACUGUAUUUCCAGCUGUCAUCGUUUUUUUUGUGAGCUGCUUGUGUAGGAGAAUGAGAUGUGGGAUUGAACUACUCAGAAAUGUUUUGUACCCUUUAGAUCAUUUAUUUGCUAACUCCUUUGGGUUGUUGCACAUGAUACAGCUGUGCUUUUUUUAGAUGCAUUUUUUUUUGCUUUUAGAAUGAUAGAAUUGAUGACUUUUGGGCGCCACCAUUUGGUACAACAGUAUAUUUUCUUCCGUGCAAAUACUGUGUGUUGCCUCUUUAUUCUACCUUCUAAAUGUUUCCGCAAGAUUUCUUUCAUUUUUAUUUCUGAAUAACCAACCUCAACUGUAGCCUGCUCAGGUCAUUUCUCGCUUUACAAAAAGCUGGUCUUUCAGUUCUACAUUUGUUGGUAGAACAACAAUGGCAAUUGUAUUUGUUAAAGGCAUACUUAGGAAAAUGCCUUUGAGACUGAGCUUCUGUCAGGUUAUAUAAAUACCUAACGCUCAUUUUAUUUGCCGUUCCAAGUAUGUGUUGCAAAACAGAGCAAAUGGAAUUUGGUUUCAGGUGCAGCAUCGGCCUGCCUGGUUAAAUUCUUGCACUAAUAAGCAUCGGCCUUUCAGUUGUUCUCCAUUGGUUCCUAAAAACAACAUGGUCACUUUACUACCUUGCUGCAUUAUAGCUUUGCUUUAAUCGAUCGAUAAUGGCUCUGUUAUAAUUUUUCGACAAGUUGGAUUUGGAAUUCUAUUUGUCUGAUGAUCUCUCUUCCUUGCCAAUUUUCCUGUGAAUUGGAGGAUGGGCGAGGCUAAGGUACUGACGGCAUUGGACUCUGAAUUAGCGCACUCAGCCUCUGGAUUAUACCGUCACUUAUUUAUGUGUGCUUAUUUGCCACUUUUGUCAAAUUUCCCUACUGUGUACUAAACCGAAUGCUAUCUGUUUGUGUAACAAACUGAAUGUCAUCUGUUUGAAGUUUCCUAAACCUUUGCUGAAAAUACAAUGUAUUUAGCUCGAUUCUGCUGCAAGGUUGUUCUGAGAAGAAAAAAGCACUUGGGCCAGCUUGGUAUGUUGCUGGCUGGCCGCUUCCUACUUAUCUAUAGCUAUGUAUUUCUUGGCCAGCUGACUCAAACAAGACCAACUCCGUACCUUUUUUGCCACGAAAACCAAAUUGCCUGGCCUGACCUGACC